rnacentral:rRNA from 1 species
UACAGAGGGUGCGAGCGUUGUUCGGAUUUACUGGGCGUAAAGAGCGCGCAGGCGGUCGAUCAAGUCGAGUGUGAAAGCCCCCGGCUCAACUGGGGAGGGUCAUUCGAUACUGAUCGACUCGAAGGCAGGAGAGGGUAGUGGAAUUCCCGGUGUAGUGGUGAAAUGCGUAGAUAUCGGGAGGAACACCAGUGGCGAAGGCGACUACCUGGCCUGUUCUUGACGCUGAGGCGCGAAAGCUAGGGGAGCAAACGGG